CAACACUUGAUGAGAUGACCUUUCUGCUUAUGGGUUAUAUUUUUUAAAGAAGGCAACAAUAAAAGAACUAUUUAGCCAAAUAUAAGUUAAGACAUUAAUCAGAGCAAAUGUUUUGAUUUUUAUUUACAAUUGUACAAGUCGUUCAACUCUUUGCAUCCUCAAAAGAGAGGUUUGAAAAUUCUCCCUCAGAAAUAAGCAAAAAUAUUUUCGGAGGCUGUUCCUUCCAAGCCUUUCAGAGUUUCCAAUAGGUAUUCACCAUUCUUGAAAUGCAAAGCCUGAACAAUGAAACAGGGGUUAAACUGGAAUUCUUGUUGCCAGCACUGAUCUGGACAGAAGUUCUUAGAGAGUGUAGCAAAGCCAGCAACAGAAAUAACCUUUGGCUCUCUAGCACAGCUCUGCAUUCAUUGGUCAUGGCAACAAAAGUUGGCUUUUAAACCCAUCUGCUAAGGAAACCUUUGCAGAAAUGUGAGCUUCUAAUGCUACUUUUCUUAAGAAGUUAGGAGGCCUUAAUACAGUGUACACAGAUGAGAGCCUGAAAGAGGAGAGAGCCCAGUUCCUGAUGAUGGGUGGAGAUGAGGAAUCAGGUAUGCUGAGCAGGCUUCGAGCUUUGUGAAUUUUACAAGUCCCUCAGGUUUUCCUAAGUGACUAUUUUCAAAUCUGUGGUAGAAGAAACAUUCGUUGCUGUUUGAUCAGCUUUCCAGACUAACUCUUUCGGCCUCAGUAGCCAAUUGCAACCUGCCCCGGGAAGUUCAGAAACGGCACCAUUCAUUAAAUACACUGUUGUGUCCCAGAGAUCCCACAGAGAUUCAGCUCCAGUGCUAAACCCCACAGAGUGUCAACUGCCAUAAUAGCUGCUUUUUGACUUGGAUGAGAGUCUCUCUUGUUUUCUUUGGUGUAGCUGGCACAUCUGGAGCAAGGGGUCUGGGCCAAAGUACCUCGUUACCAGGGGCCCGUACAGAUAAUGUUACAACAGUAGCCAUGUCUCUAAUUAAGGAAGGCAGUUAGAUAUAGGAAUUGAUUGUCAGAGGUUUGUAAGAAUGCGGUGAAACCUUUUACUUUCCUUUGGCAUCUCACACAAUCAAGACUAAACCAUGUAUUCUAGAUUACGUCUUGAAAGAAAUUUCCAGUUAGCAAGAAGUUUAAUGGGUUAGUUUGCCAUCAGUGUUUUGAUUAUGUUUUGCUGAAUCUAAGUUCAUAAGGAAUUGCUAAGGGUUUUUUCCUUCCUUCCCUCCACCCCCAAAUUUCAUGUGAUGAGACAGCUAUAGAAGAGUUUUUCAUAACUUUUAGUUAUGUUUCUCUUGUGGAGCUGUAGGCGUUACUGAGAAUGGGCUGGAGUGUCGCGGGUCAAGGCGGGACACGACACAAAUCCUUAUGGAUCCAGAGGCUGGAACACUUUAUUGCGCGAUGUCUGCUACUUUUAUACACUUUUUAGGCUACACAUGUCAACUCUCCACUGGUUCUCACAUACAUAAAUAUUCUUCCAUUGGCCACUAACGGUGUUAUAUAACUCUGCUUACUGUGCAUGUCACGAAACACAUUUUGCUGUGCUCAGCACAUUUUACCGGAAAACCAUAUUGUUACAACUUCCGGGUCCGGGCGUAAUUCUCCCCUGAACAAAGGUUCCUACUUAGCUUUAACUCUUCCCGAAUCCCCCAGGCCAGCUGGGGGAGAACCACCACACUGGAGUAAUGCAAUGAAUAUUUUCAUUCCUAGAAGACAUCGUGACAGCCCAUCAGGAGAAAAAAUUGCUCAAGAAAGAAAACACAAACCCAACCAAAAUGAUACUCAACCAUCUCAAGUCCAGUUGGGGAGAGCAUGGGCAGUGGACUGGUUUUCCUUGGCAAGCAUCCUUUUCCUGCUCCUGUUUGCCCCAUGGAUGGUGGAUUACUUCUUCACCAUGUCCUGUGAGCAGUGCCAGUACUCUCUGACUGAUCCCCUCAGGGACUUGCUCCCAGGGAACAUAUGUCUGCCUGACAUCUGGAACAAGACACCUAUGCUGACCAAGCGGGCUACUGGCAUCUAUUGCCUUUGGAUGGCUUUCCAGGUGUAGUGAAUAAAUAUGAACUCAGUGGACUUCAGGGCUGGAUCAUUACUCACAUGCUUUGGUUUGCAUGACUUCCACUUCUUCUGCCCCACCAUCCUUUUUGACACCUGGAUUCCUCUGCUGUGGUGUGCCAAUAUCCUGCGAUCUCCACUUUCCACAUUUGCAAUGAUGAAAGGCUCCUUCUUCCCUA